rnacentral:sRNA from 1 species
GUCUUCUUCUUCCUCUUCUUCUUCACGUCCUCCAU